rnacentral:rRNA from 1 species
UGGGGAAUAUUGCACAAUGGGCGCAAGCCUGAUGCAGCCAUGCCGCGUGUGUGAAGAAGGCCUUCGGGUUGUAAAGCACUUUCAGCGGGGAGGAAGGCGUUAAGGUUAAUAACCUUGGCGAUUGACGUUACCCGCAGAAGAAGCACCGGCUAACUCCGUGCCAGCAGCCGCGGUAAUACGGAGGGUGCAAGCGUUAAUCGGAAUUACUGGGCGUAAAGCGCACGCAGGCGGUCUGUCAAGUCGGAUGUGAAAUCCCCGGGCUCAACCUGGGAACUGCAUUCGAAACUGGCAGGCUGGAGUCUUGUAGAGGGGGGUAGAAUUCCAGGUGUAGCGGUGAAAUGCGUAGAGAUCUGGGGGAAUACCGGUGGCGAAGGCGGCCCCCUGGACGAAGACUGACGCUCAGGUGCGAAAGCGUGGGGAGCAAACAG